rnacentral:rRNA from 1 species
UGCCCUACGGGGGGCAGCAGUGGGGAAUAUUGGGCAAUGGGCGCAAGCCUGACCCAGCAACGCCGCGUGAAGGAAGAAGGCCCUCGGGUUGUAAACUUCUUUUAUCAAGGACGAAGAAAGUGACGGUACUUGAUGAAUAAGCCACGGCUAACUACGUGCAGCAGCCGCGGUAAUACGUAGGUGGCAAGCGUUAUCCGGAUUUACUGGGUGUAAAGGGCGUGUAGGCGGGGCUGCAAGUCAGAUGUGAAAUUCCAGGGCUCAACCCUGGACCUGCAUUUGAAACUGUAGAUCUUGAGGGAUGGAGG